CUGGCGGCAUGCCUAACACAUGCAAGUCGAACGCCUGUAGCAAUACAGGAGUGGCAGACGGGUGCAAAACGCGUGGAAACCUAUCCUUGGGUUCGGAAUAACCGCGGGAAACUGCGGCUAAUACCGGAUACGUCCUUCGGGAGAAAGAUUUAUCGCCCAUUGAGGGGUCCGCGUCUGAUUAGCUAGUUGGUGAGGUAAUGGCGUCACCAAGGCGACGAUCAGUAGCUGGUCUGAGAGGAUGAUCAGCCACACUGGAACUGAGACACGGUCCAGACUCCUACGGGAGGCAGCAGUGGGGAAUAUUGGACAAUGGGCGCAAGCCUGAUCCAGCAAUGCCGCGUGGGUGAUGAAGGCCUUCGGGUUGUAAAGCCCUUUUGGCGGGGACGAUGAUGACGGUACCCGCCGAAUAAGCUCCGGCUAACUUCGUGCCAGCAGCCGCGGUAAUACGAAGGGAGCUAGCGUUGUUCGGAAUUACUGGGCGUAAAGGGCGCGUAGGCGGUUUCGAUAG
rnacentral:rRNA from 1 species